rnacentral:rRNA from 1 species
GAUGAACGCUGGCGGCGUGCCUAAUACAUGCAAGUCGAGCGAACAGACGAUUAGCUUGCUCCUCUGACGUUAGCGGCUGACGUGUGAUUAACACUUGGUUAACCUACCUAUAAUUCUGGUAUAACUUCGGGAAACCGGAUCUAAUACCGGAUAAUAUAUUGAACCUCAUUGUUCAAUAUUUAAAUACGGUUUUUCUUUCUCUUAUAGAUGUUUCCGGGCCGCAUUAGCUAGUUGGUAAGGUAACGGCUUAACAAGGCAACGAUGCGUAGCAGACCUGAGAGGGGGAGAGGAAACAAUGGAAGAGAGAAACGGUACAGACGACUACGGGAGGAAGCAGUAGGGAAUAUUCGGAAAUGGGGGAAAGCAUGACGGAGAAAGGCAGAGUGAGAGAUGAAGGAAUUAGGAUCGUAAAACACUGUUAUGAGGGAAGAAAAAAAGUGUAAGUAAAUAUGAACGGAAUGACGGUACCAAAACAGAAAGCAACGGCUAACUACGUG